UAAAAUUUUAAGUUGACUCUGCCCAAUGAAAUUUAAAUGGCUGCAGUAUUUUGACUGUACAAAGGUAGCAUAAUAAAUUGAUUUUUAAAUGAAAUCUUGAAUGAAAGAGGUGAUGAAAUAUAAACUUUUUUUUAUUAAAUUUUUGAAUUUAAUUUUUAAGUAAAAAAGCUUAAAUAAUUUUAAGGGACGAGAAGACCCUAUAGAAUUUAACAAAAUAAAUUUGUUAUAGAAGUUUAAAUAAUAGUUGUUUAUUUGGGAGGAAUAUUAAAAUUAUAAACUUUAAAAUAUAAUUACAUAAAUUAAUGGGUUAAAUUGAUUUUAUUUUUUUUUAAAUUUUAAAUUAAAUUACCUUAGGGAUAACAGCGUAAUAUUUUUUGA
rnacentral:rRNA from 1 species